CGAUGUGUCUGUGCUCUCUGAUUGUCUUUAUGAUCAUACUAAGGAACUGUGUUUCACAGUUAAUAGCACCACUAGAGGACAAAAUGCAGGUGCAUGCUCUCGAAGGUGAGAGAGCUAAUCUCUCCUGCCAGUAUGAGAAAGCAAACUAUCUGUUUUGGUACCGUCAGUAUCCUGGAUCCAGACCAGAGUAUCUACUGACGAUCAUCCCAUCAACAAAAUCUGUAACUCCAGUCCUCCAGCAACUGAAAGCUGAAGUGGAUGGAAACAGAGUGGAUCUGUUGAUCUCCUCUGCUGCAGUAUCAGACUCUGCACUCUACUACUGUGCCAUGAGGCCCACAGUGACAGGAAACCCAGCUACACUGUACACAAAGUGUUUCAUAUGACUCACACAGGGCAGUGCUGUUAUCAACAGGGGGAGCUAUUUGUCUUUUUUCAUUUAGACUUUCAGCUUUUUAAACCUCCAGGCUAGAAUACUAGAUUGCUCUGGAACACAACUCUUUAUCAAGUUGACAACAAAAAGCUGAUGCUGCUUUUCUAAAC